rnacentral:rRNA from 1 species
AUACGUAGGUGGCAAGCGUUAUCCGGAUUUAUUGGGCGUAAAGCGAGCGCAGGUCGGUUUUUUAAGUCUGAUGUGAAAGCCUUCGGCUCAACCGAAGAAGUGCAUCGGAAACUGGGAAACUUGAGUGCAGAAGAGGACAGUGGAACUCCAUGUGUAGCGGUAGAAAUGCGUAGAUAUAUGGAAGAACACCAGUGGCGAAGGCGGCUGUCUGGUCUGUAACUGACGCUGAGGCUACGAAAGUAUGGGUAGC